UACAACUUUUAGGUAAAUUUGAUACCAUACUUUCUAUUUUCAUUUGAUUCUCCUGUAAGCAUUUAUUUUGUUUUAUAUGUAUGUAUCUCUCCCCCAACCCAAUUGUAUUUUUUUUAUUCCGGCAUUAAGUGCCUUGAACAUAAAUUCCAUAAAUUUACUUUUAUAGUCCAUAUAAAGUUUUGACUACAACUAAUAAUGUCACCUUAGCUAACACUUGUAUAGCACUUCAGAAUGCAUUAUCCCAGGGUUUCUCAACCUCAGCACUGCUGACUUUGGGACAAAUAAUUGGGCCCACCAGGGAGGAAGAAGGGGACGGAAUACUGUCCUGUAUAUUGUGACGACAUCAAGCAGAUAUUAGCAUCCCCCGCCUCUACCUACAACAUGCCAGUAGCACACAUAAACACACAGCCCCAAUACUGACAAACAACAGUGUCUCUAGACAUUCCCAAAUGUCCCCUGGGUUAGAUAUAAUCACCCUCAAGAGAAGUUUUAAGCAAUAUGCCCCACGUGGCGGCAGUCAG
rnacentral:lncRNA from 10 species